CAAUCACCCAACUUGGCUUAUUCCUUUAUCCACCUCAACCACGACUAGAACAUGGCGCAGUCGGUAGGACCUCUGGUAUUCGCUCAGUAUUCUGGGGCUUGUCAAGUCAUCUCAGACGAGUCAAGACCAGGUCAUGUGAAACCAAGGGAUAACAACCCUAGUACGAAUUGGGCUGCUACUGAGCAGAGGUCUGAGAUAUCCAUCAGAGCCGAAUCCCAAAACGAAAACCACCGCUUGUCAAUACUGUGCUCUGCAGCUAUGUGAAGCUGGCAGGACAGCUCUUGACAGAUAAUAGUUUCAAGGAUAGUGUGGUCACUGUUUCUAUUUGGUACAGCUGGGUCAAUUAAAUUGAUCUCAGUGUACAUUGUGAGGCUGUUAUAGCCAAGUUUCGGAAAUAGGCGGAGGAGAAAUUCAGUUACUGUAUGUAAUUGUAUUACUAGAGAAUCAUUUAAUAAAAGUAAUCAGAAACCAGGAGAGCUUCAUGCAAACUGGUGUACAGACCUAAAAUAAAUAGAAUCAAAGAUUGUGA